AGGAGGUGUCUCCGGCUGUUGGUUUUGAAACUUUGUGCCUUAACUAAAACCCAGGUUCUCAGCACAGGGGAUGUGACUCAUGGCUGAGAAAUUCCCCAUGGCCUUGGAUGACAUUUACGUUGAUUACUUCUGAGUCACAUUUCUGGGAGGAUUUUUUAUUUUUUCUUCACCAGAGGCAAAUGGAAGGGAAAAUGGCAUGGAUAGUGGUUUGGAAACAGCAGAGGAAACGGGGUCAUUUGUGUUGUUAGUAGGAGAGUUAAAGACAUGCAAGAAGGGAAAGAAAAACAAGGCAAAAAAGAAAGGACAGAACCAGAGAUACAAUGAGAAACAAUUUAAAAUCCUGCUGUGGUGGGGUAUGUCUCAGUGGAAGAAAAAAGACACAGAAACGGCCAAUCAAAUGGCAGCUUGGAAGCCAACCUUUUUGACUUCAUUAAGAGAAAUACAUUCAGAAUAUACAGAUCCAGGAUGCUGCAAAUGUGCACACUUUGCUGCACAAGAGGGAGGACACAGGAAUGGAACAUGCCAAAGGCACUGGGCUUUAGCAGUUCAAAGGUUCUUUCUGGGUCCUGAGUCUCCCCUUUCUGGAAUAAUGGCAGGGGUGUGAGGGCUGAUUGGGUGAGGGGGAAACUGAGGGCCCCUAGUGUCCCUGAUCUCCCUUUUAUGUGUGUUCUAAGCCUCAUCUGAGGUUAAAAAGCCUCCUUAACGUAAAUGUAUCAUAGAAGAUCUCAGUUAAAUCAUGGGCUCCAAAAAUGCAUCUGGAAACUGGAAAAGCAAUGUCCCAAUUCCAGUAGGAGUUCAAACCAUCAACAGAAAAAAAAAACAAACAGAAAACACUUUUUAUCAGAUUAGCAUCACUCCUGCUUGACUUGGACCAAUGAAUCUCAGGCUAUAUCUAACAAAAGCACCAUUUGUGGCCAAUAGGCAGUGAUUUGGGAAGCAAAGGCAGGCAAUACUGAGGGGCAGAAAGAGUCAAGGAUGAGGAAUCAGAGAUCCGGGCCGCCAUCUGGGUGUUCCAGUGACUAGCCCUGGCGAGGCAGUCCCACGAGUGGGGUGGAUGAGGACAGAGCACUGGGAGACCCAGGAAAGGGCCCCAACCAGGAAUGGAACAGGCGUGAUGAGGAAGAGGGUGGAUACCUGAGAAGAAUGGAGGUAUUACAAAUGAGAUCAAGGGCAGGAGCUUCUGUGAGCAGCCAGGAUCCCAGGUUCUCACAGAACCUUAAAGAAGCCGGGUGAGGGACGGAGAAGCUGCCCGAGUGACCCUAUCCAGGAAGGCUGGGCUGAGUGGAUCUGGAGGAAGGACUGACGGCUGGUUGCCUACCCUCCUGCUGGCUACCCUCCUGCUGGGGGUGGCAGCUUUGCCUGAUUGGUGCCUGUGUUCUCCAAACCCAGGUCAGAAACCUCUACACCCACUGUCCACACACACCCUGACCAUCUGGCUGCUCUCUUGACCCUACCUUCUGGCCUGCCAUUCAGAGCCCUGUCCUCCCGACUGACCUGCCACUCACCCUGCACACCAAUCCAUCCAGGACAGGCAGCCUUGGAACAAAGUAUUAAAGACAGUAACAAAACAUUACAAUAAUGAGAGGGAGAGAGAGAGGGAGAGAGAGAAGAAAGGGAGGAGAAAAAGAAACAUGGAAGGAGAGAGACAGCAACAUGAAGGCUUCAACUAAAGGCUGGCUGAGGCUUGAGCCAGAGGAGACAGGAGCAUGUGAGAGUGAGUAAUGCUAACCAAAAAGAGAGCCAGAACCAAUCCAGCACUUCCUGUUAAUCUCCAGAGACAACAAAGGUGUAUCCCCACCAGCCUCUCCCCAGUGACUCCUGACUUCCUUGCUGUCAUCCAUCUGCCUUGGUUCUCAAAAUUCUGCUCUUACUCUCCACCCCCCAACAAUAGCCAGAUUCCCCCUCCUGUUCUUACACAUUCCCAAGAAAUCUCAUCCUGUUGGAGAGGUCUUCACUAUUCUUUCCAAGGCCUCAUUUUGUCCAUCUGGCUCUAGCCAUCCCCAGUGUCUCCAGGUUGCCUAUCAAAGCCAAUCAAGGGAGUGACCAAUUCAGAGCUUUGAUGCUGGCAGAGAGUAUGCUUUUGACAUAGAACUCUGUGUGUGUGUAGGGGCAAUGGAGAUGUUGUAUCUAUAGCCCCAACAAAGGGGGUUUGGAUUUCAUAGAUCAGAGGCUAAGAAGGAUCUCUUACCUGGGUGAUCCAAAGAUAUUAUUUAAGCCUGACCCAGCAGAAAUGUGAUUGAGUAAGUAUUUGUCAUUUACCCCUGUAUAUGCUGUGUGGCCUACAAUUCCUUACCUGGAAGUGAGAUAAAUGACUAUUAUUGUUGUAACUAUUAUUUUUGCUUGAAACAGGAGAUAGAGCAUGUGACGUGCUGAUGGCCCAGGUCAGUGAGGAGAGUUAUAAGAGAUAUUCAGGAUGAACCUCUGGAGUCGAUCAUGUCUCUGGCGAAAGAGAGAGAAAGAGAGAAUCUCCUUGCAGACAUUAUUUGCACCCAACCGGGGCCUGAUCACAUCAAAUGAAGGCUGCCAGCUUCCCCUGCCAGAAGCCAAAGGCACUGGGAAAAAUGGAAAUUGGACAAUAGUCUUGUAUACUCUCUGCUCUGCCAUGGAUGGCCUUCAGCAGGAAACCAACCCACAGAAUCAAAAGAACACGGUUUCCUGUUAACAUAGAGCGAUGCCAAAUCCACCAGACAUUAUUGUUUCAUGCCCUGUGCCAGUCAUUGUCAACCAUAGCGCUGAUCGCGAAGGUGAUGAUAGGUCAUAAAGCCACAGCCUCUGCAAGGAUGUUACAAGCCCUGGAGCAGGCGGGGAGUACAUGUGUGUUUGGAAGGCAGCAAAAGAGAAAAGUUCCUAGUGUGUUUUGGACCUUGCAUUGUUAACCCUUUAUCCAAACCCAGAGAAAACACAACUCUGUUAACUACUCAGAAGUUUUCUCCUAAAAUGGCAUGGUUAAGCUUGAUAUAGGUUUCAAAAAGAGUCCUGAGUUCUCCUUGGGACCAGAACCUUCAAAGAUGGCCAUGAGCAACAUCCCCAACACUGGACCUGUGACAGUGAGGUUUCAGCAAGUGACCCUCAAGAGGAAAGCAAACUGCCAGUGGGCAUUGAGGUCCUACUGCACCCGGAACGAAUGUUUCCGUGGCCAACAGUGACGGACGGACUGAUUAAGCAAUUAGCGCUGAGGGAGCCCAUGGGUUUCCUUCGAGAGAGCCUGGCCCUGCCCCACUCUGUCCGUCGGGAUCCUGACGGGAAGCGGAAGCAGUUGAGAGUCUGAAGACAGUUUCAUGAAGAGGAUCAUGCGGCUCAAAGGCCCUCACUAGAUGCCACUGCCAUGCUCUUGGACUUCCCAGCCUCUAGAACAGUAAGAAAUAAAUUUAGUUUCUUUAUAAAUUACCCAGUCUAUAGUUAUAGCAACACAAAACAGGCUAAGAUGUGCCCUUAUAAGAAAUAUCUCCUCUCCAUUCCCCUCCAGGAAGAGGGCCCU